GUGAGGAUGGUACCUCCCCCCUUGACAUCAGGGGACAAGGAGAUCUUUGACUAAGGAGCUGCAAUUAUCUCUAAUCCAGGUCACCCUGGGCCAUCACAGCAGCCAAUGCAGUGAAAUACAAGGACAUUGCUGAGACCUGGGACAAGGACAAGGAUGUUCUCUGACAGGAUUUCAAGUCCCAUCCACUUUGUAUCCAUCUGCUACUACGCCAUCUCCAAUGCCAAUGAUUAACACAGCAGAAUGAUUUUCAGUACUUUCAGAGAACAGAACAUAUUUUAAGAAAAAAACAACCAUAACUGCA